GACGUAGGAGGCGAGCGUUGUCCGGAUUCAUUGGGCGUAAAGAGCACGCAGGCGGUUUGGCAAGUCGGACGUUGAAAAUCCGGGGCUCAACCCCGGACCUGCAUCCGAAACUGCCCGACUAGAGGUAGGUAGGGAGAUCGGAAUUCCUGGUGUAGCGGUGAAAUGCGCAGAAUAUCAGGAGGAACACCGGUGGCGAAGGCGGAUCUCUGGGCCUUACCUGACGCUCAGGUGCGAAAGCUAGGGGAGCGAACAGG
rnacentral:rRNA from 1 species